rnacentral:tRNA from 1 species
CUUAGCUCAGUUGGAUAGAGCGACGGCCUUCUAAGCCGUAGGUCCCAGGUUCGAAUCCUGG